GAAAGGAAAAUCGGUGUACUCAAGUUAUACAAUGCACACAUUCAGCUAGCUGAAGAACAGAGGGGUCGAUAUAGACUGCAGUGUACAGAAAGCAAAGAGAAAUACUUGUAUUCUUUAUUAAACAAGAAAAUGAAAAGACAAGGCAUAAUCAGUAUGUCUGUGGAAGUUCCAUUAUUCUUGGGAUUUAUGCCCAGCAACACAUACUAAUCAUGCCCAGCAUGUAGGACCUGCUUACUUUGGGACACCUAGGAAAUGCUGUGUUUUUUGGCAUGUGCUCUGAAAGUUCAGCAUGUUCAGGAAAGAAGAUAUUUUAAUUGGUGGAAGAAGGAGAGACAAAUUGCAAGGGAACAAACGGUAUAAUAGUUUAAAUGGAGCAUUACUAUUUCAAGUGCUAUGACUAUGGUGAAGAAGGGGAUUUCACUUAGACAACUGCAGAAGAGAAACAAUACCGCACUGUGGUAUGGAUUAU